rnacentral:rRNA from 1 species
UGUUAGCGGCGGACGGGUGAGUAACACGUGGGUAACCUACCUAUAAGACUGGGAUAACUCCGGGAAACCGGGGCUAAUACCGGAUAAUAUUUUGAACCGCAUGGUUCGAUAGUGAAAGACGGUUUCGGCUGUCACUUAUAGAUGGACCCGCGCCGUAUUAGCUAGUUGGUAAGGUAACGGCUUACCAAGGCGACGAUACGUAGCCGACCUGAGAGGGUGAUCGGCCACACUGGAACUGAGACACGGUCCAGACUCCUACGGGAGGCAGCAGCA